rnacentral:pre_miRNA from 1 species
AACAUACUCCCUCCGUUCGGAAACACUUGUCCUAGAAAUGGUUGUAUCUAGACUUGUUUUAGUUAUAGAUACAUCCAUUUCUAAGACAAGUUUUUCCGAACGGAGGGAGUAGGUG